UACGUAGGGUGCGAGCGUUGUCCGGAAUUAUUGGGCGUAAAGGGCUCGUAGGCGGUCUGUCACGUCGAAAGUGAAAACUCAGGGCUUAACCCUGAGCCUGCUUCCGAUACGGGCAGACUAGAGGUAUGCAGGGGAGAAUGGAAUUCCUGGUGUAGCGGUGAAAUGCGCAGAUAUCAGGAGGAACACCAGUGGCGAAGGCGGUUCUCUGGCCCGGUACUGACGCUGAGAUGCGAAAGCGUGGGGAGCAAACAGG
rnacentral:rRNA from 1 species